rnacentral:misc_RNA from 1 species
CCGACUUGAAUGAAGAAACUCCUGCUCAUGGAAAGUUACGACAAAAGAAAAAGCUUAAAACAGCAAAUUUUACCCCUGAAAAUUUCUUGUUAACUAAUGCUGCAUCAUCUACCACAAGAUUAUCUAAACACAACUAGUUAGGGAAAAUGUUUUAGUUCAAUUAAGUUGAUAAUGGUAAAUUUUUCAUGACCAUUGCUACUACAAAGAACAAAAUCAGUUGAAGGCAUAAAACACAUGCAGGAAGUUACUAAUCAAAAUAUAGUAAGUUUCUAAGAAUUUUGGUUUUGGAUAGAUGAUAUCCAACUUUUGUUCAAAUCUAAAGAAAUUUUGAUCAAAUUCCUGGAGAAUUUAAGUUUUUUUCAGUGUACAUUGUAGAAGACUAUUUUAGCUUCAUUAGCAGUCUCUCAUGUUAUUCAGUUCUUUACUUUCAAUCCUCCAUUUUUAACGUCUCUUUCCAUAGAACCUUCACACAUUUGAACCUUUAUCAAUGG